rnacentral:rRNA from 1 species
GAUGAACGCUAGCUACAGGCUUAACACAUGCAAGUCGAGAGGAAACGACAUCGAAAGCUUGCUUUUGAUGGGCGUCGACCGGCGCACGGGUGAGUAACGCGUAUCCAUCCUGCCCACCACUUGGUUAUAACCUUGCGAAAGUAAGACUAAUACCCAAUGACGUCUCUAGAAGACAUCUGAAAGAGAUUAAAGAUUUAUCGGUGCUGGAUGGAGAUGCGUCUGAUUAGCUUGUUGGCGGGGUAACGGCCCACCAAGGCGACGAUCAGUAGGGGUUCUGAGAGUAAGGACCCAAACAUUGGAACUGAGACAAGGUCCAAACACAUAAGAGAAGCAGCAGUGAGGAAUACUGGACAAUGGACGAGAGGCUGAACCAGACAAGUAGCGUGCAGGAUGACGGCACUAUGGGUAGUAAACUGAAAUUAUAAGAGAAUAAAGUGAAUCUCGUGAGAAUUUUUGCAUGUACCUUAUGAAUAAGGACAGGAUAAUACAGUG